rnacentral:misc_RNA from 1 species
AAGUCGUAACAAGGUCUCCGUUGGUGAACCAGCGGAGGGAUCAUUACAGAGUUCUGAAAAGACUCCCAAACCAUUGUGAACUUUACCCAGUUGCCUCGGCGUGGAGGCCCCUUCCUGGGGCCGCGGGGUGCCCGCCGGCGCUAAGCAAACAUUCUGUAUUUUAGUGGCCUCUCUGAGAAAAAAACAAAUAAGUUAAAA